rnacentral:rRNA from 1 species
GAUCAAGUAUAAAAGGGCGCACGGAGGAUACCUUGGCACUAUCAGCCGAUGAAGGACGCGACUGGCUGCGAUAUGCCCCGGGGAGCUGUCAAAGUAGCUUUGAUCCGGGGAUUUCCGAAUGGGGCAACCUGUUACGAGUAAUAUCGUAACGUUUUUCGAUAACCCAGCGAACUGAAACAUCUUAGUACCUGGAGGAAAAGAGACAAAUUUUGCAUUCCCAAAGUAGUGGCGAGCGAAAUGGGAGGAGCCUAAACCUAUACAAUGCCAAGCUUGCAGGUUUUGUUGUAUAGGUGUCGCGGGGUAUUUUUUCUACAAACUGCAAAUUGUAGGGAGAGUAAAAAACUUAUCGUUUAGUUGAAUAUAGUUGGAAAGCUAUAACCAAAGAAGGUGAAAGUCCUGUAAGCGAAAAAUGAUAAACUCUCUUAAAAUAUUCCCAAGUACUAUGGGACACGAGAAAUCCCUUAGGAAUCUGGGUGGACCAUCACCCAAGGCUAAAUACUAGAUAGUGACCGAUAGUGAACUAGUACCGUGAGGGAAAGGUGAAAAGAACCGCGGAAGCGGAGUGAAAUAGAAUAUGAAACCGUGUGCCUACAAGCAGUAGGAGCUAUGACUUCGGUCAUAGUGACUGCAUGCCUAUUGAAGAAUGAGCCGUCGACUUACUGUUGCAUGCAAGGCGAAAGCCGAAGCGAAAGCGAGUUUUAACAGAGCGAUUAAGUAUGCAGUAGUAGACCCGAAACUGCAGCGACCUAGCCGUGGUCAGGAUGAAAUCCCGAUAAUAUCGGGAUGGAGGUCCGAACCGGUUGAUGUUGAAAAAUCUUCGGAUGAACUGCGGCUAGCAGUGAAAAGCUAAACGAGCUCAGAGAUAGCUGGUUCUCCUCGAAAUGGUUUUAGGGCCAGCCUUAAGUAAAAUUGCUUUGGGGGUAGAGUACAGUUUGAACUAGGGGGCAGGAAUGCCUUCCAACUUCUUGCUAACUCCGAAUACCAAAGUUAAGUUUCUUGGGAGUGAGAGUCCGGGGGAUAAGCUCCAGGCUCAAAAGGGAAACAGCCCAGACCAUCAGCUAAGGUCCCUAAAUGUAUGCUAAGUGGAUAAGGUAGUUGAGUCACCAAAACAGCCAGGAGGUUGGCUUAGAAGCAGCCAUCCUUUAAAGAAAGCGUAACAGCUCACUGGUCGAGUGAUUUUGCGCCGAAAAUACACGGGGCUCAAGCAUACUACCGAAGCUAUGGAUGCCCCGAUUUGAUCGGGGCGUGGUAGAGGAGCGUUCCGUUUUAGGUUGAAGUCGCAGCGCGAGCUGCGGUGGACGAUACGGAAGUGAGUAUGACGGCAUAAGUAACGAAAAGAUGAGUGAGAAUCUCAUCCGCCUAAAGUCUAAGGUUUCCUGGGGAAGGUUCGUCCGCCCAGGGUAAGUCGAUAUCUAAGCUGAGGCCGAAAGGCGUAGGUGAUUGGCAAACGGGUUAAUAUUCCCGUACCACCUUGUAGAGUUAACACUAGGAGGGACGCAGAAGGGUAAGUCAUCCGCUUAUUGGAUUGCGGUCUAAGUACGUAGGGGGUAAGGUAGGCAAAUCCGCCUUAUAUUAAACCCUGAAGUACAAAUGGGACCCUGACUUCUAGUCGGGGGAACUGACUGAUCCCACGCUGACGAGAAAAGCUUCGAGUGUUUUUACAGGGUGAUCGUACUAUAAACCGACACAGGUGGACAGGUAGAGAAUACUAAGGCGCGCGAGAGAACUCUCGCUAAGGAACUCGGCAAAAUGGUUUCGUAACUUCGGGAGAAGAAACGCCCUAGUAGAGUGUCAAAGCUCGAAUGGGUCACAGAAACCAGACUCUUGCAACUGUUUAACAAAAACACAGGUCUCUGCAAACCAGAAAUGGGAAGUAUAGGGGCCGAUGCCUGCCCAGUGCUGGAAGGUUAAGGGGCGAGCUGAGAUUAUAUCAAGGUUCAAACCGAAGCCCCAGUGAACGGCGGCCGUAACUAUAACGGUCCUAAGGUAGCGAAAUUCCUUGUCGGGUAAGUUCCGACCCGCACGAAAGGCAGAAUGACAGGAGUGCUGUCUCGGCGAGAGACUCGGUGAAAUUGGGAUGUCCGUGAAGACACGGAUUACCUGCAUCAGGACAGAAAGACCCCGUGGAGCUUUACUGUAACUUAGCUUUGGAUUUCGAUGAAGUUUGCGCAGUAUAGGUGGGAGGUGUUGAUGCCUUGACUUCGGUUGGGGCGGAGCCAUCAGUGAGAUACCACCCUUGUUUCGUUGAAGUUCUAACCCGGAAAGUGUAUUUUCGGAAACAGAGCUAGGCAGGCAGUUUGACUGGGGCGGUUUUCUCCUAAAUUGUAACGGAGAAGUUCAAAGGUUCCCUCAGGACGGUUAGAAAUCGUCCGUGGAGUGUAAAGGCAUAAGGGAGCUUGACUGCGAGACGUACAUGUCGAGCAGGGACGAAAGUCGGACUUAGUGAUCCGGUGGUACAGUAUGGAACGGCCAUCGCUCAGCGGACAAAAGUUACCCCGGGGAUAACAGGCUUAUCUCCUCCAAGAGUUCACAUCGACGAGGAGGUUUGGCACCUCGAUGUCGGCUCGUCACAUCCUGGAGCUGGAGCAGGUUCCAAGGGUUGGGCUGUUCGCCCAUUAAAGUGGUACGUGAGCUGGGUUCAGAACGUCGUGAGACAGUAAAAAAAGUGGACUUUGCUGUCUAUAAAUUUGACUAAAUGCUGGAAAGUCUGGUUAGAUUUCGUGCUACCAAUGAGGUAAAAUAUCUCAGAGGUAAAAAUGCAUGAAUGCAGACAAUCAGCAGGAAAGACUAACAAUAGGUUUUUACAUCGCAGGUUUUACAGAUGGAGAAGGGAGUUUUCACGUCGCCUUUGAAAAAAGGCCAAGCGUGACACUCGGUUGGCAAAUCAUUCCAGAGUUUCAUAUCAGCCAACACAAAAAUGAUUUAAAACUACUCCACUUUAUUCAAAAAUAUCUAGGUUGUGGGACAAUUCGUCCAAACCAUAGAGGAAACCAAGGUGAUGAAAAUCAGGUUUUGGUAGUAAGAAACCGAAAAGAUUUGACAAAUCUUAUCAUUCCAUUCUUUAUGAAGUUUAAGCUUCGCUCAUCUAAAGCCAAAGACUUCGAAAAGUUUAAAACAAUCUUGGCAUUACUAAAUAAAGAUUGUCAUAAAACAAAAACUGGCUUUAACAAAAUUGUAGAGCUAGCUUAUGCUAUGAAUAAAAAUGGAAAGUAUCGGAAAAGAAAUAAACAUAUAUUGUUAGAAUCCUCAGAGACUAUACGUCAAACAACUAAAACCAAAUAGUUGAAGAUAUAGUCCGAACUGCAUGGCGACAUGCAGAAUCAGUUAGAAAUAAUUGAUCCUUUGUAAUAAACAAAGAGUAACAUAAUUGUCGGUCCAUAUCCGGUGCAGGCGCAGGAUUUUUGAGGAAGGCUCUUCCUAGUACGAGAGGACCGGAAGGGACGAACCUCUAGUGUACCAGUUGUGUCGCCAGAUGCAAACGCUGGGUAGCUAUGUUCGGUCGGGAUAAACGCUGAAGGCAUCUAAGCGUCAAGCCCAUUCCAAGAUUAGAAAUCCCACCCCCUCGGGGGGGGUAAGAUCACUUGUAGACUACAAGUUUGAUAGGCUGGAGGUGUAAGCACAGUAAUGUGUUCAGCUGACCAGUACUAAUCGAUCGAGGACUUGAUCCU